UACGUAGGGUGCAAGCGUUGUCCGGAAUUAUUGGGCGUAAAGAGCGUGUAGGCGGCCAGGUAGGUCUGCUGUGAAAACUCGAGGCUCAACCUCGAGACGUCGGCGGAAACCAUCUGGCUAGAGUCCGGAAGAGGAGAGUGGAAUUCCCAGUGUAGCGGUGAAAUGCGUAGAUAUUGGGAGGAACACCAGUGGCGAAGGCGGCUCACUGGACCGGUUCUGACGCUGAUGCGCGAAAGCGUGGGGAGCAAACGGG
rnacentral:rRNA from 1 species